GAUGAACGCUGGCGGCGUGCCUAAUACAUGCAAGUCGAGCGAACAGACGAGGAGCUUGCUCCUUCGACGUUAGCGGCGGACGGGUGAGUAAAAAGUAGGUAACCUAACUUUAAGAAUGGGAUAAAUUCGGGAAACCGGAGCUAAUACCGGGUAAAAUUUCGAACCCCAUGGUUCGAUAGUGAAAGAUGGCUUUUCUAUCACUUAUAGAUGGACCUGCGCCGUAUUGGCUAGUUGGUAAGGUAACGGCUUACCAAGGCAACGAUACGUAGCCGACCUGAGAGGGUGAUCGGCCACACUGGAACUGAGACACGGUCCAGACUCCUACGGGAGGCAGCAGUAGGGAAUCUUCCGCAAUGGGCGAAAGCCUGACGGAGCAACGCCGCGUGAGUGAUGAAGGUCUUCGGAUCGUAAAACUCUGUUAUUAGGGAAGAACAAACGUGUAAGUAACUGUGCACGUCUUGACGGUACCUAAUCAGAAAGCCACGGCUAACUACGUG
rnacentral:rRNA from 1 species